CCUACGGGAGGCAGCAGUGGGGGAUAUUGGACAAUGGGGGAAACCCUGAUCCAGCGACGCCGCGUGAGUGAAGAAGUAUUUCGGUAUGUAAAACUCUGUCAGUAGGGAAGAAAGAACUGACGGUACCUGACCAAGAAGCCCCGGCUAACUACGUGCCAGCAGCAGCGGUAAUACGUAGGGGGCAAGCGUUAUCCGGAAUUACUGGGUGUAAAGGGAGCGUAGACGGUGAUGCAAGUCUGGAGUGAAAGGCGGGGGCCCAACCCCCGGACUGCUCUGGAAACUGUGUAACUUGAGUGCAGGAGAGGUAGGCGGAAUGCCUGGUGUAGCGGUGAAAUGCGUAGAUAUUAGGAGGAACACCAGUGGCGAAGGCGGCUUACUGGACUGUAACUGACGUUGAGGCUCGAAAGCGUGGGGAGCAAACAGGAUUAGAUACCCCAGUAGUC
rnacentral:rRNA from 1 species